GCUAGAAGAGGCUGAGAUAAGUGAAAGGACAAAAUUCAACAGCAACACCAUCUCAAACGGGCCCCCUGCUCUCCUUGAAAGAGUUCCCACCAGCAACUCAGAACAACCCCAGUAAAGGCAUGUCAUAGAAAUGACAACUGAAUCACGUAUGUGCAACCUCAUCUGGUGAAUUUCACCUGACAGACACCAUCUGAACCACAUCCUGAACUUUCUGAGACAGGUGACAUAUUGAGAUAUUUGGCCCCCAAAUAGAGAGCUAACAAGUAAGUUU
rnacentral:lncRNA from 1 species